rnacentral:lncRNA from 1 species
GACAGGCACGUCUCUUCCUAAGAAUGGCUGGGAGACUAGAAUGGCAGCUGUCUCAGAGAAAAUGCAAGUCACUGGGGGCAGGAAAAAGAGGAGACACAGGACAGCCGGCUCCCUCCGCUGCCUUUUCACCUUUUCUCUACUUCCUAAACCACCCCCUUGGCUGCCUUGUUGGCAGAUGUGAACUGGAAAAGCCUGCUUGGGGUGCCAUGUGAAGAUCAGCCCCACUGCAUCGGUGAGUCAGUCACAGGCUGUGCAGGGAACUCACUCACGGAGCUGGGUGGCCUGAGGAUGGGCUGUCCUGGCUAGAGAGCCUUGGCACAACCAUGCUCUCCAAUGGAGGACAAAAGAGAGAAAUACCAGGCUUGCGGCUGCUUUGAGUGGUCCCACAGUUGAAAUGCCAGGGAAUAUGAUUGGUGCAAUGAACCAUGUGGAUCGCCUACAGAGUUCCUCUGCGUGGAGGUCCAGUGUGGCUUUAUUUCACAAUCCCAAAAGCAUGAUGAUGUUCCUUUCUGAAAUCUGCUUUGGGGGCUCAGAAUUUUAACCUAAGACCACUUGGGUAUCUUCUGCAUAUUGAAUAAAGGUAUUGUGGUUUACAGACCUGGAUCC